rnacentral:rRNA from 1 species
AUUGAACGCUGGCGGCAGGCCUAACACAUGCAAGUCGAGCGGAUGAAGGGAGCUUGCUCCUAGAUUCAGCGGCGGACGGGUGAGUAAUGCCUAGGAAUCUGCCUGGUAGUGGGGGAUAACGUCCGGAAACGGGCGCUAAUACCGCAUACGUCCUGAGGGAGAAAGUGGGGGAUCUUCGGACCUCGCGCUAUCAGAUGAGCCUAGGUCGGAUUAGCUAGUUGGUGGGGUAAAGGCCUACCAAGGCGACGAUCCGUAACUGGUCUGAGAGGAUGAUCAGUCACACUGGAACUGAGACACGGUCCAGACUCCUACGGGAGGCAGCAGUGGGGAAUAUUGGACAAUGGGCGAAAGCCUGAUCCAGCCAUGCCGCGUGUGUGAAGAAGGUCUUCGGAUUGUAAAGCACUUUAAGUUGGGAGGAAGGGCAGUAAGUUAAUACCUUGCUGUUUUGACGUUACCAACAGAAUAAGCACCGGCUAACUUCGUG